GGGAGGCACUGUGCUCCAAGGGGAAGCGGCUGUCUCUGACUCAGCUUUCAUGGGGGCCGGAGAAUGGAGUAAGACAAGGAAGGAAAAGAGACUCUGCCACACUCAGAAUCCCUCCACAGCCCCAGGAAGAAUCAGCCUCAUCACCUUCACAUCAGUUCCAGGCCUUCUCAACUUCCCAUUCAGAACUCCAGGGCAGCAGGAGCAGAGGCUGCCACCUCCAGGGACAGACAUUGCAGAAUCAAUACUACAUUCACUUCUGGUACAUCCAUGCAAAUGUGAAAUCAAGGCAUUGGAGAAGACCAAAGGCAGAACCACUUAUUGUUAACUAUAAGACUGUACUCCCUCCUCUUUACCUCGUUGUCCCUGACUGACCCUACCUGACUCCUUAAUUCAGUGCCUUCCCAGAGGCUUAGGUGCUUGAGUGUCCUCAGUGCCUCAGCGUUUGUUGCUCAGUAGUUUGUAGCUGCCAAAACCUUCCCCAGUACCUGUUCUGCCUCCCUAACUGCAUGGUAAUGCUGAAGCCACUUCUAUUAUUGUGCCCUGCUGUAGAGCAGACCUGAAAAAUCUGAACUGGCAGAACAGAUAAAUGCAUGGUCACAGUAUUUUUAUGUCUGACUGUCUUUGUAUCCUUGGGGGAUUGGUUGCAGCACCCCUCCUUGGAUUCCAAAAUCCAUGGCUACUCCAGUCCCUUGUAUAAAAUAUUGUAAUGUAACACUUGCAUGUAACCUAUGCAUGUUCCCCUAGAUUAUUUAAAUCAUCCCUAGAUUU